GACGAACGCUGGCGGCGUGCUUAACACAUGCAAGUCGAACGAUGAAACCUAGCUUGCUAGGUCGAUUAGUGGCGAACGGGUGAGUAACACGUGACUAACCUGCCCCUUUCUCUGGGAUAACGCUCCGAAAGGAGUGCUAAUACCGGAUACUCACACCGAGGCACAUGCCUUGGUGUGGAAAGUUUUUCGGAAAGGGAUGGAGUCGCGGCCUAUCAGCUUGUUGGUGAGGUAACGGCUCACCAAGGCGACGACGGGUAGCCGGCCUGAGAGGGCGACCGGCCACACUGGGACUGAGACGAGGCCCAGACUCCUACGGGAGGCAGCAGUGGGGAAUAUUGCACAAUGGGCGCAAGCCUGAUGCAGCGACGCCGCGUGAGGGAUGAAGGUCUUCGGAUUGUAAACCUCUUUCAGUAGGGACGAAGCGAAAGUGACGGUACCUAAAGAAGAAGCACCGGCUAACUACGUGCCAGCAGCCGCAGUAA
rnacentral:rRNA from 1 species